UCCUCCAGAAGUUUUAAUAUGAGAAUCAAUUAGGCAAUUUCGUCAAUGUCAGGAAGCUUAAUCCCUAUUUCUUUGUUUUUGGCAUUAUUGAGUUUGUGAAUCUACUCCGGUGGUCUAAUUGAAUCUCAUAGAAAGAUUUUAAGGUGUUGAGCUGUUUGUAAAAAUAACAUUUGUUUAUUAUGGAUGUGAAUUUAAUACGUGAACGAAAGAGAUUUGGGGCUCAUUGACACAAUUUUCCUUGCAUAAUAGUGUGCUACUUUAACACUUUUUUUUGGGUACACAUAAAUUACUUCUAAUUUCGUGUUAGAAACAUCUCUAUUUUUUACUUCACACUGGCUGCUUAAAAUUUAGUUGGACAACAGAAAGCAGCUA
rnacentral:lncRNA from 1 species